AUUGAACGCUGGCGGCAUGCUUUACACAUGCAAGUCGAACGGCAGCACGAGUGCUUGCACCUGGUGGCGAGUGGCGAACGGGUGAGUAAUGCAUCGGAACGUGCCCAUGAGUGGGGGAUAGCCCGGCGAAAGCCGGAUUAAUACCGCAUACGCCCUUAGGGGGAAANCGGGGGAUCUUCGGACCUCGCGCUAUUGGAGCGGCCGAUGUCGGAUUAGCUAGUAGGUGAGGUAAAGGCUCACCUAGGCGACGAUCCGUAGCUGGUCUGAGAGGAUGAUCAGCCACACUGGGACUGAGACACGGCCCAGACUCCUACGGGAGGCAGCAGUGGGGAAUUUUGGACAACGGGCGCAAGCCUGAUCCAGCCAUGCCGCGUGAGUGAAGAAGGCCUUCGGGUUGUAAAGCUCUUUCAGGUGGAAAGAAAUAGCGCUGUUUAAUAGAUGGCGUUGAUGACGGUACCACCAGAAGAAGCACCGGCUAACUACGUG
rnacentral:rRNA from 1 species